AAGUUGGAGACGGACGCCGGCAGCGCACAGCCUCGGUGACCAGAGCAGACGUAGUAACUAUGUCUGAUCAUUCUAAUGAAAUAAGCUGGUUUGACCACUAGACCAGAACACAGGACCUUCUUCCUGUAUUUACUUUCUUGCUACUGCCCCCAGACAUAUCCGACCAAUAAAAGGACUGGACGUUCCUGCCUGAUUUGGAUUUUUACAGGUUG